CUUACAAGCAAAAACUCAAAACAGGAAGUACCAGUGACAUGCUCAAUACAGAUGUGGUCCGAUUCUACAGCUACAGGAUUGUUUCGAUAGCAUUCCAACAAGCAAUAGGGGCAACAACACAGGGCAUCCACGGGACCUCAUGGAACGCACCUGCAGAAAAUGGACAACAGGGAGAAGCAGAGGAGAUACCUAUCAUAGACUUCUCCCAGCUGACGCUUGACAUACCACCUACGCCACCUCCAGUGGUAGAAACAACCAGCUGGUAUGAUUGAGUGGAAUCAACCAACAGUAAUACGGAAGCAGCAAUGUGAGAGUCAGUAGUGCAUGACCUUAAAGGGUAAUAAUAGGAAGCUUCUGUUUAACACACAGGCCUAAGAUUACAUAGGUCUACAGCCCCAGUGGGAACUUCCCCUUUAAAAAGAUAUAUAAAGAGAACAGAGAUCAUAAGACAGCAUGAUCCUCACUAACAUAUGAAACAGACUUCAUAUGGAGAAUCAUCAUAGGUAAAUGUACUAUUACACUAUACGCUUUUUGAUAGAGUAAAACAAUAUUUUGAGAACCGGAUAAUUGUGCUUAAGUACUUAUUGGGUCAUACUCUGAAGAAGCUGGUUGAAUCUUGUGAACCCGACUGAGUCUCCGAAAAACAGAGGUCUAACCACCUCUUGAUCACAUAGACAAAGCAGGCGUUCGCAUUUUUGACACCAGAAACCAGAGGUGACUAGCAAUUCAAGGAAAAAUAGCCAAGUACCAGUUACAAUAUAUUGAGUCCAUACACAGAGUUGGAAGUGUAUCGAGAUAUUGGAAUUCGGAAUCUAGCGUCAUAGCUGUAAGAAUAACGAUUACGGGAAAGUGACAAAGGGGCUGAGCAUUUAAGGCCCUGAGCCCUCGAACCAUGCCUCAGGACUACCUGGCCUGAUAACCUGACUGGUCCCCAGUCCACCUGGUCGUGCUGCUGCUCCAGUUUCAACUGUUCUGCCUACGGCUAUGGGACCCUGACUAACUGGACGUACUACUUUGUCUCGGACCUGCUGUUUUCGACUCUCUCUCUCUACUGCGCCUGCUGUCUCUAACUCUGAAUGAUUGGCUAUGAAAACCCAACUAACAUUUACUCCUGCGGUGCUGACCUGUUGCACCCUCUACAACCACUGUGAUUAUUAUUAUAACCCCGCUGGUCAUCUAUGAACAUAUUGGCCAUGCACUGUUAUAAUCUCCACUCGGCACAGCCAAAAGAGGACUGGCCACCACUCAGAGCCUGGUUCCUCUAGGUUUUUUCCUAGGUUCCUUGCCAUUCUAGGGAGUUUUUCCUAGCCACCAUGCUUCUACAUCUGCAUUGCUUGCUGUUUGGGGUUUUAGGCUGGAUUUCUGUAUAGCACUUUGUGACGUCGGCUGAUGUAAAAAAUAAAAUUAAAAGGGCUUUGUAAAUACAUUUGAUUGAUAGUGAUGAGCUUGAAUGGCGCUAAGAUAAGGACCCUUGGAUUAAACAACUCCCGCUGCAACUGAAUCCUGGAUUUCCUGAUGGGCCGCCCCCAGGUGGUGAGGGUAGGCAACCCUGAACACGGGGGCCCUCUGAGGUGUGUGCUUAAUCUCCUCCUGUACUCCCUAUUCACCCACGACUGUGUGGCCACGCACAACGCAAACACCAUCAUUAAGUUUGCAGAUGACACAAUGGUGGUAGGCCUGAUCACCGAUGAGACAGCCUAUAGGGAGGUCAGAGACCUGGUAGUGUGGUGCCAGGACAACAACCUCUCCCUCAAUGUCAGUAAGACAAAGGAACUGAUCGUGGACUAAAAUGGAGGGCCAAGCACGCCCCCAUUCACAUCAACAGGGCUGUAGUGGAGCGGGUUGAGAACUUAAAGUUCCUCGGUGCCCACAUCACUAAGGACCUAUCAUGGUCCAAACACACCAACACAGUCGUGAAGAGGGCACAACAACGCUUCAUCCCCCUCACAAGGCUGAAAAGAUUUGGCAUGGCCCUUCAGAUCCUCAAAAUUUCACAGCUGCACCAUUGAGAGCAUCUUGACAGGUUGCAUCACCGCUUGGUAUGGCACUGACGCACUGGACUCUACCCACACUGCACUACACACACGCUGCUGCUACCCUGUUUAUUAUCUAUCCUGAUUACCUAGACACUGUUACCCCUACUUACAUGAAAAUAUCACCUCGUACCCCAGCACAUUGACUCAGUAUCAGUACUGUAUCUAGCAUCAUUAUUGUUAAUAUUUCCUUUUUAUGCAAAUUUUCAUACUUUUUAACUCUGCGUUGUUAGGAAAUGGUUCAUAAGUAAGCAUUUCACAGUCAAGUGUACAUCUGAUGUAGUCGGCGGAUGUGACAAAUAGCAUUUGUUUUGACUAUAGUCAAUAGCCGCUAAAGUAGUUAGUUUAAAGGCCUAGUGUCAUAGCUAUUGAAUAUCAUGUUACUGCAGCAUAAAUAUUGAAUAAUGUAUUGCGCUACUAUGAUGACAUUGAUGUUGUGUAAAACUAAAUGUUCAAAACCUAUUGUGAUCAUGUUUGAAAGCAUUUACCCUGAACUUCUGGUUGUGUAGCCUACCCUCUACUUAACUGCAGUAAUGGUCAGUCCAAGCUGGGCAGGGCUGUGUAUGUAUUUAGCUGGGCCCAACUUGUUCUGAGGUUGUAGAGUCUUUUGUAUAAGCGUUCUUUCUUUCUUCUAAUUAAUGAAGCUUUCUUAUAGCAUUCUCAUAUCCCGGGACCCUUCAUUUUACAUGUACUCAUCCUUAUGUUUGUAACUCUUUUGGUUAAUAAAUCCACCACCUCUUUUGCAUGGA